rnacentral:lncRNA from 1 species
GUUACUCAGCUGCAAGGUUUAUCUAUACCACUACAUCAUAUCUGAAUCGUAACGGUGAACUUGAAUUGUCUUAGCGCUGUGAAAAUAGCAGUUGAAAAAAUCGGGAUGAUAAUCGUUACUCUAUGGUAUGUUUCUUCUUUGAAAAUCGUAAUUUUGUUUAUCGGAUAAUAGUAACUGAAACAUAAUAAAUGUGUCUUUCAGCAUUUCUAUUGUAUUUUGUGUGUUGAAAAUGCAAAUGCCCAGUUUAACGAUGACAUUGGUGCAUAUAAAAAUAAAUAAAGAAACUU